rnacentral:rRNA from 1 species
UAAUUGAAGAGUUUGAUCAUGGCUCAGAUUGAACGCUGGCGGCAGGCCUAACACAUGCAAGUCGAGCGGUAACAGGAGAAAGCUUGCUUUCUUGCUGACGAGCGGCGGACGGGUGAGUAAUGUAUGGGGAUCUGCCCGAUAGAGGGGGAUAACUACUGGAAACGGUGGCUAAUACCGCAUGACGUCUAC